CUUGGUUUUUCUAUAAAUAUCCCAAUGUCUAUUCUUUGUUUUGAUUUUGUUGAUAACAGAUCUAGUAUACCAAACAGGGUAAUUUUCCCGCUGACCAAAGGACUUUGAAAUUGGCCAGAGUAGGAUCAGCAGCAUCUAAAACUGGCAACCAGUCAGUCCCAGCAAGUGAUAGGUAGAGCCCUUCCAGAUUACCUUGUGAAAGUUAAAUCUCAAGUCAUCAGUCCCAUGUACAAAUGGUACACUAUCCAGGUUCACUAAUUCCAGUUGUAUAUUUAGAGCAGGAUGAUGAUUAUCCUCUGUAACUAAUGUCAACUCCUGUUUGUCUACAGUUACUGUUAAACUUUCUGUCGUCAGAACUAAAUCUAAUAUUCUGUUGUUGCAAUUGAGAAUGCUGUUGUGUUGAACCAAGUUAUUUAACGCCAGAAACUGUGUGUAGAUGUUAAAUAAUUGGGUUGUCCUUGUACCUGUCACACAUCGCAAUUAAAUAUUUAAUUGAGGUUU